rnacentral:misc_RNA from 1 species
GAUGAAGAACGUAGCGAAAUGCGAUAAGUAAUGUGAAUUGCAGAAUUCAGUGAAUCAUCGAAUCUUUGAACGCACCUUGCACCCUUUGGCAUUCCGAAGGGUAUGCUCGUUUGAGUGUAAUUGUACUCUCACACUUCCAAUCUUUGGAUUGGGAGCAGUGGACUUGGGUGUUGCUGCUUACUGUGGCUCACCUCAAAUCGAUUCGUGCACCUCUUGGUUGGACAUAGUACGGCGUGAUAAGUGUCUUCGCCGGCACCUCAGUAGAGGGUGGCUGAUCAGGAGCUCUGUGCUUCAAACCGUCCUCGGACAAAAACUGACAACUUGACCUCAAAUCGAGUAGGACUACCCGCUGAACUUAAGCAUAUCAAUAAGCGGAGGA